CGAACGAAGCAAUUUGAUUGGAUCUCUUCGGAGUGACGGACUUAUUGACUGAGUGGCGGACGGGUGAGUAACGCGUGGGUAACCUGCCUUGCACAGGGGGAUAACAGUUAGAAAUGACUGCUAAUACCGCAUAACCCGCUAGUACCGCAUGGUACGGACGGAAAAGAUUUAUCGGUGUAAGAUGGACCCACGUCUGAUUAGCUAGUUGGUGAGGUAACGGCUCACCAAGGCAACGAUCAGUAGCCGGCUUGAGAGAGUGAUCGGCCACAUUGGGACUGAGACACGGCCCAAACUCCUACGGGGGGCAGCAGUGGGGAAUAUUGCACAAUGGGGGAAACCCUGAUGCAGCAACGCCGCGUGAAGGAUGACGGUUUUCGGAUUGUAAACUUCUUUUCUUAGUGACGAAGACAGUGACGGUAGCUAAGGAAUAAGCAUCGGCUAACUACGUGCCAGCAGCCGCGGUAAUACGUAGGAUGCAGGCGUUAUCCGGAUUUACUGGGUGUAAAGGGAGCGCAGGCGGGACUGCAAGUUGGAUGUGAAAUACACGUGGCUUAACCACGGAACUGCAU
rnacentral:rRNA from 1 species